UGGGCCCUCCUGGCACCCCGGACACUGCCGGGACACGUAGAAUUAGUGUUUGUGGGGGAGUGAUGGGAGGCGAGUCGAGGCCAGGGUGGGAAGGGGGCAAGUCCUGCCUGGGAAACUAGCAGGAGGUGCCCCUGUGAGAGGCUGCUGCUGCAGGAGCCGUGGGCCCCUCGCCACCAGCAGAACACACAUCCCUGUGGAGGCUGCGUCAGGGGGCCGCCCUACACCAGUUUAUCAAAGAAAAGUGGCUCAACAGUGGCCGAUAAGAUGAAGAAAUGUGUUUGCGUGGUUCACCAGUAUCUGUGCAGCGUCGUCAUUUACUGCUUCCUCAGUUAGUAAUUAUAUCGAUUUGCUCUUCAAAAAAGCAUCAGACCAGACAAGUGGGACAAUUCUAUCAUUCAAGGUGGCAUGGAGAGAUAACCAUGUCCUAUGGGAUUGAGGGCUAUCAAGUUACAUGGAGUGACAACCCAGGACGAAAGCCAUCUAGGGGGCCACUGAUGGGGGGACGUUGCGAGAGCUUCUCACCCCUUAAUUCACUGCGGCGGAUGGCCCCCGUCGUUAUUCUCUCAUCAUUGCUUGUAUGCCUCGUUCUCUACUACACCUUCCCGAUGGGAGAUGCUGCAGUAUAUGCUCCAUCAGCAGCAUCUGAGACAACUGGGCUUGAUUCCGUCACAACAGAGGCUUACCGCAAACGACUCCGUAUUCGAGGUACCCAGCGUAGGCUGCCUCAAGCUCUGAUCAUUGGUGUGCGUAAAUGUGGUACUCGAGCCCUCAUUGAAAUGCUCAAUUUACAUCCCCAUGUACAGAAGAAUGGAAUUGAGAUGCAUUUCUUUGAUGAUGAUGAACGUUAUGCAAAUGGCUUAGAGUGGUAUAGGAAAAGGAUGCCAUAUUCUUUUGAUAACCAGGUUACAAUAGAGAAGACCCCAUCAUACUUCAUAUCUCGCGAGGCACCGGCAAGAAUACGGGCCAUGAAUGAGACUAUCAAACUGUUGUUGAUCGUCCGCGAGCCAGCGAUGCGGGUUCUUUCUGACUAUGCUCAAAUAAUGGAAGCCAAAAUGCGUAAAGGAAAGCAAGUGGCCCCAUUUCACAAGAAAGUGCUGACACCAGAUGGUGAAAUUAAUGAUGGAUUCAAAGCAAUACAAAUAAGCCAGUAUGCUGUGCAUGUCUUACGAUGGUUGAGAGAAUUUCCUCGUGAGCAAAUACAUAUCAUAGAUGGUGAUAAUCUUGUAUCUGAUCCAUUUACUGAAAUUGAUAAGAUGUUUAUCAGUAAGAACACCAUUCACAUAGCCACCCAACCUUGCCCCAGAAUAUUUUAAUAAGGAAUUUCCUGGAGCCAUCAGGAACUCUUGAUUAGCUGAUGACGUACUGUGCGUUCGUUUGUAGUCACCUAAAUGCAGUAAGAGGGCGAGAGCUAUGGUAGUGGUGUGUCGUCUUCACUAUAAAGUUUGUCAUGGCUUCUGAGAGUUUCGGCAUACAUUUCUCUAUUACAUUAUUCCAUCCAUCUACUAUUCCGUAUUCAUGUGCAACAGUUCUUAAGACUUCCUCUCCAUAUAAAGCCUGAUAAUUUCUACUUCAAUGAGACUAAAGGUUUUUAUUGUAUGAGAAAUGAAACCUUCCAAAAAUGUUUAACAGAUGCCAAGGGUCGACCACAUCCGUAUGU
rnacentral:misc_RNA from 1 species